UCGCUCAAAGAUUAAGCCAUGCAUGUUUUAAGUAUUAAAAUAACUUUUAUAUUGUGAAACUGCGAAUGGCUCAUUAAAUCAGUUAUGAUCUACGUGACAAAUUCUUUACUACUUGGAUAACCGUGGUAAUUCUAGAGCUAAUACAUGCAAAAAAGCCCUGACUUACGAAGGGGUGCACUUAUUAGAUAAAACCAACGCGGGGUAAAACCUGUUUCUUGGUGAAUCAUAAUAAUUAAGCGGAUCGCAUAGCCUUGUGCUGGCGACGGUCCACUCGAUUUUCUGCCCUAUCAUGGUUGAGAUUGUAAGAUAGAGGCUUACAAUGCCUACAACGGGUAACGGGGAAUUAGGGUUCGAUUCCGGAGAGGGAGCCUGAGAAACGGCUACCACAUCCAAGGAAGGCAGCAGGCGCGCAAAUUACCCAAUCCCGACACGGGGAGGUAGUGACAAUACAUAACAAUGCAGGGCCUUUAAGGUCUUGCAAUUGGAAUGAGUACAAUUUAAAUCCCUUAACGAGGAUCAAUUGGAGGGCAAGUCUGGUGCCAGCAGCCGCGGUAAUUCCAGCUCCAAUAGCGUAUAUUAAAGUUGUUGCAGUUAAAACGUCCGUAGUCAAACUUUAGUCUUACUGGCGUAGUGGCCUGGUCUUCAUUGACCAAGCUCAUUGCUGCCGGAGACUCCAUGUUCAUUAGGGGAAAAUCUCUAGGGGUUUUUUUCUUAUUUGAACAAUUACCAUGAGCAAAUCAGAGUGUUUAAAGCAGGCUUUUAAGCUUGAAUGUGUUAGCAUGGAAUAAUGAAAUAUGACUUUAGUCCUAUUUUCGUUGGUUUAGGUACUUCAGUAAUGAUGAAUAGAAACGGUUAGGGGCAUUUGUAUUUGGUCGCUAGAGGUGAAAUUCUUGGAUUGACCGAAGACAAACUACUGCGAAAGCAUUUGACCCGGGACGUUUUCAUUGAUCAAGGUCUAAAGUUAAGGGAUCGAAGACGAUUAGAUACCGUCGUAGUCUUAACCACAAACUAUGCCGACUAGAGAUUGGGCGUGUUUAUUAUGACUCGCUCAGCAUCUUAGCGAAAGUAAAGUUU
rnacentral:rRNA from 1 species